CAGAAUCGCAUUCAAUUUGAAUUUUGAAAAUUAUUUUUAUAUACCCGGUAAAUGAAUCUGUAUUUUUAUCAGUUCACCAUUUUUCUUACUAAAUUUUGUCCUAAUUUUAAAAAUUUCAUACUAUAUUGUACCAUUUUGCAUCAUAUUUGUAUUUUUUUUAUUUCAGGAUUUUUGUGUACCGCUUCACAGAAAGAUUGCACACAUGUUGAAGUUGUGUACCUACUAGUAUGGAAUUGCUUGAGGAAUUUCCCCCCG
rnacentral:lncRNA from 1 species